UGACUAUGUAGGUAUGUGUAGUGCUGUUGUGUGUACCUUGAAUUUCUUUCUACAUCUUCCUGUGGUGGCAUAGAAUGCGUGCAGUAAGCUGCAUUCCACCAAUGGUCAGAUUGAUGCAUAAAUCAUCAUGUGCGUGGUGAUUCAGGAUAAACUAAUUGCCUGAUUGGGUUUUGGGUGCUGCCAAUUUAUCUGCAUAAGUUUUUGUAUUGUUAUCAUACAUCUCCAUAAGCUUUUCUAAUCUACACAAGCUUUUCUAACUGGUUUGAAUAGAGAAUAAGAUUAACAUCUUAUGAAGGAUUGUUGGGAUAUAUAAUAGUGCAAAUGUAGUUCAGGCGACCUUUUGGAUCUCCCUGCAAUUACUUAUUAACUAGACGUAUAACUCAGAUUUACAAGAAGGCAGAAAAUGAUGCAAAAUCUACGUGUCCUUUUGGAUCUCACCAAUUGUCAGCACGUCUGCUUAUAACGAAGUUCUAGAGAAGGAAAAGAUGGAAUGAAACUCAAAUUUUGGUGGCUGCAUAAGUGUGGAGACUUGAAUUCAUAUAUACUUAGUUAGGCUCAACGUUAGCGCAAAUAGUUGAUGACCAAGUUUUUCCAUUAGUAUUUUAGUUUGGAUUUAAAGUACACUUAUGUAUGAGUUAUUUGACAAUGCUUAUUUAUGAGAUAUUGAAUGAUACUUAUCUAUAUUAUAUUAAUUAUAAUGUUAUUAAA